rnacentral:rRNA from 1 species
UACGGGGGGGGCAAGCGUUGUUCGGAAUUACUGGGCGUAAAGGGCUCGUAGGCGGCCAACUAAGUCAGACGUGAAAUCCCUCGGCUUAACCGGGGAACUGCGUCUGAUACUGGAUGGCUUGAGAUUGGGAGAGGGAUGCGGAAUUCCAGGUGUAGCGGUGAAAUGCGUAGAUAUCUGGAGGAACACCGGUGGCGAAGGCGGCUCUCUGGACCACAACUGACGCUGAGGCGCGAAAGCCAGGGGAGCGAACGGG